AACGAACGCUGGCGGCAGGCUUAGCACAUGCAAGUCGAACGCAUCCUACGGGGUGAGUGGCAGACGGGUGAGUAACGCGUGGGAACGUGCCCUUCAGUUCGGGAUAACCCAGGGAAACUUGGGCUAAUACCGGAUACGUGCGAGAGCAGAAAGAUUUAUCGCUGAAGGAUCGGCCCGCGUCUGAUUAGCUAGUUGGUGGGGUAAUGGCCCACCAAGGCGACGAUCAGUAGGUGGUAUGAGAGGAUGAUCAGCCACAUUGGGACUGAGACACGGCCCAAACUCCUACGGGAGGCAGCAGUGGGGAAUAUUGGACAAUGGGCGCAAGCCUGAUCCAGCCAUGCCGCGUGAGUGAUGAAGGCCUUAGGGUUGUAAAGCUCUUUCGUCCGGGACGAUAAUGACGGUACCGGAAGAAGAAGCCCCGGCUAACUUCGUGCCAGCCGCCGCCGUAAAAC
rnacentral:rRNA from 1 species